GAUGAACGCUAGCGGCAGGCCUAACACAUGCAAGUCGAGGGGUAGAAGUUUUCGGACUUUGAGACCGGCGCACGGGUGCGUAACGCGUAUGCAAUCUGCCUUGUACUGAGGGAUAGCCCAGAGAAAUUUGGAUUAAUACCUCAUAGUAUUUUUUGUUGGCAUCAACAGAUUAUUAAAGAAUUUCGGUACAAGAUGAGCAUGCGUCCCAUUAGCUAGUUGGUAUGGUAACGGCAUACCAAGGCUACGAUGGGUAGGGGUCCUGAGAGGGGGAUCCCCCACACUGGUACUGAGACACGGACCAGACUCCUACGGGAGGCAGCAGUGAGGAAUAUUGGUCAAUGGUCGCAAGACUGAACCAGCCAUGCCGCGUGCAGGAUGAAGCAUCUAUGGUGUGUAAACUGCUUUUGUACGGGAAGAAACCCUCCUACGUGUAGGAGCUUGACGGUACCGUAAGAAUAAGGAUCGGCUAACUCCGUGCCAGCCGCCGCCGUAAAAC
rnacentral:rRNA from 1 species